CGGGGUAGCUCAGUGGUAGAGCAGUAGACUGAAAAUCUAUGUGUCGUGAGUUCAAUUCUCUCCCCCGG
rnacentral:tRNA from 1 species